AAUUAAUAUAUAAUAUUAUAUUAUUAAUUAAUAUAAUGAAUUAGAAUUAAGACAAAUCAUAAUGACCUUUAUAAUAUGGGCUAUAAACAUGCUAUAAAAAAAUAAAAAUAAAAUUAUAAUAAUAUUAUUUAAUAUAAUAGAAUUAAUAAUAAAAAAUAUUUUAAUCUUUAAUAUAAUUAUAUAUUAUAUAUUAUAUGAAUUAUAAUCUGAAAUUCGAUUAUAUGAAAAAAGAAUUACUAGUAAUACGUAAAUUAAUAUGUUACGGUGAAUAUAUUAA
rnacentral:rRNA from 1 species